rnacentral:rRNA from 1 species
GAUGAACGCUGGCGGCGUGCCUAAUACAUGCAAGUCGAGCGAACGGACGAGAAGUUUGCUUCUAUGAUGUUAGCGGCGGACGGGUGAGUAACACGUGGAUAACCUACCUAUAAGGCUGGGAUAAGUUCGGGAAACCGGAGAUAAUACCGGAUCAUAUUUUGAACGGCAUGGUUCAACAGUGAAAGACGGACUUGCUGUCACUUAUAGAUGGAUCCGAGCUGCAUUAGCUAGUUGGUAAGGUAACGGCUUACCAAGGCAACGAUGCAUAGCCGACCUGAGAGGGUGAUCAGCCACACUGGAACUGAGACACGGUCCAGACUCCUACGGGAGGCAGCAGUAGGGAAUCUUGCGCAAUGGGCGAAAGCCUGACGCAGCAACGCCGCGUGAGUGAUGAAGGUCUUCGGAUCGUAAAACUCUGUUAUUAGGGAAGAACAUAUGUGUAAGAAACUGUGCACAUCUUGACGGUACCUAAUCAGAAAGCCACGGCUAACUACGUG